UUUUUCUUUUUUAAGAAGUAAAACCUGCCCGGUGUUUUUCUAAAAUAAACGGCUGCGUAAAGUACUAAGGUAGCAUAAUUGCUUGUCUUUUAAAUAAAGACUUGUCUGAAAGGUUUAAUGAAAGCAUUUCUUUUUUCAAAGCUCAAAACGAAUUAUUGGUGUUAGUAAAAAAUCUAACUUGCUAAUAAAAGACGAGAAGACCCUAUAAAAUUUUGCAUUUGGUAGAAAAAAAAUGCUUUGAUGGGGUUUCAGUUUUUUAAAAAAAGAUUUUUAGAAAAAAAUUUUAAAAAAAGAAUAAAAUUACUUUAGGGAUAACAGGAUAAUCAUUUUUUUGGAGUACUUAUUUGAAAAAAGGUUUAUUACCUCGAUGUUGAAUCAAAAUGUCUUUUAUAGUGAAGCAGCUUUGAAAGAAGGCCUGUUCGGCCUUUGAAAUUUUACG
rnacentral:rRNA from 1 species